rnacentral:rRNA from 1 species
ACAUGCCUACAACAUAGUGUUAAUGCAUUGGAUCCCAUUAGAACUUUGCAGUUAAGCACGCUCAGGCUAGGGUAGUACUAGGAUGGGUGACCGCUUGGGAAGUCCUAGUAUUUUACAUACC